AUUCAUUGGGGGUUUAUAGGGAUGUCCCCGCUACGUAUGAAUCAUUUUCUUUAACAUUCUCAAUUAACGGGCUGUCCUCAUACCCCGUUCUGUAUGAACACUAAGUUACUAAACCUCAAUACCCCGUCUAGUAUGAGGGUGAAACGGGCUGUCCCCAUACCCGUCCGGUAUGAGCGCCAAAUUAUCAAGUAUCGAUACCCGUCCAGUAU
rnacentral:lncRNA from 1 species